rnacentral:lncRNA from 1 species
GCCGGAGCCUCUCCCUCCGGUGCGCACAGCGCACCCUCUCCUCCCCCGGCCGCCCGUCGCAGCGCGGAGAGGGCGUGUCGGCACCCUGCCUGGCGAGCGCCCACCCCUACAAUGGCUGCGAGCGCGCGGGACGGAGGGUGCACCGCCGCUCCCCGGGGACUUGCACGGGUGGCGCGCCUAGCCCAGAGCCCGCUUGUAGUGAGCGCUCAGUAGGGCGGGAAAGCUGCUGCCGCUACUGCGGCCUUCUGAGAAGACGCCCAUUCUCUGAUGUCAGGACUGCAUCGCCGAGUCCUGAUUGCAAAUAGCGAAAUAUAUAAUUAAGGAGAGUUCGGGGGCGUAUCCUGCAAUGGGAUGCCGAGUUCGAUAAAGUUGCAGGAUGCUGGGAAAGUGGAUUGAUUUGCUGUUGCUAAAUGAAUGGAAACAGCGUUAGAGCUUCUGUCCACGAUCCAUCAGUCUAUCGAGAUUGCUGAUUGCCUAUGACUUGGACGGUUGAUGGUUUUCAGGCCCACUGAGAGCAGCCAGCGUUGGUAUAACCGCAGGGAGCCCUCCUGGGAGGUUGAACCUGCAGAGCGCAAAUGUGCCCAGGUUGAUUUGGGGCCUAGUGGUCCAUUUUCACAGCUCCACUGCCUAUCUGCAUAACCAGGAGCCCUCAUUCAGAUGAACGCCAAAUGGGCCAGAGGGAGGAGAAUCAAAUGAGCAACUUUUAAAAGAUAUUAAGACAUAGGCACCUAACUCCGGACAGUUCCUUUAACCCUUGAGCUAACCAUUUGAAGCACAAAACAUAACAAAAGAAAAGACUGGGGGGAGUGGGGCCAAAAGAAACCAAGUGCAAAAUUCUGUACACUUGUGUCAGAUUCACUCCGUAAUGGGAAAAGGUCUGGCUUUGAAAACUUUAUGGAUCAAAGGGAUGCAUGGAGUUACACAGCACAGCUGCAGAAGAUAAUGUUCCCCUGGAUCACUCUGCCCAACUCUUAACUGCAACCCACCUUCCCCAUCCGUCUCCCCGAAAUCACCCGGAAGGGUGUUACCUUCAGGAAGUAACUGAUCUCUUGAUCACCCCUGCUGGAUCCUGUCCCCAAGGGCGUUCGAAUGCAUCCGACUCAUCUUCACCUUGCCAAUAACGGGUGCUUGACACAUCGUUUGCUGCCAAUCAUUAUUGUGAUUUUAAUACUAUUGGUAUUCUAACUAUCAAGAUGACUGCUUGUAGAGCCAGAUUGCCUGGAUUCAAACUCCAGUUCACAACCUACUAACUGUAUGCCUUUAGGUAUGUUACUUAACCUUUCUGGGCCUCAGUUUCCUCAUCCAUCUGUAAAUGGGGAUAAUGAUGGCUUCUACCUGAUAGGGCUGUUCUGAACAUUACAUGAGCUGAUCGAUGAAAGCACUUCAAGUGGUACCUGGCAUCUCGUAAACUCAGAUGCCUCUGAUGGAUUCGAAAUAACCAGAUAUAUUUCUGAAUUGCUUCAUAUGGUAUGUAAACUUAAGGUUUUCUAAACUAAUAUCUUUUUCAUGCUCUUUUAUUGCUACUCUGACCAGACCCUUAUCUUACUUAUAAAAUAUAUAUUUUUCUCAUCAUGCUUAUAUGGUACAGAAAGAGCUAAGCCCCAGAAAUACUGUUAAUGAGAGGGAGAUCAGGUCCUGGACAGUCUUGGUUUAUAACUUGCAGCAGGGAUAUCUGUUCCCCUGAGAGCCCAGUUCUCCAUAUCAAGGCACUGCAGAAGUCAAAUUAGUAGUCAGCAGGCAGCUUGGGAGCACAUAAACAAAGCAAAGGAGAUUGGAUGCUCCUGGGAGGACAGGCGUGGUUUGGUACAAAGCAGGUGCUCAAGAAAUGUCUCAGGAAUGGAACCCAACCAGGUUCCUACCCCACUAGAGAGCAGACACAAUGUCUUGGCGACCUAGAACCAUCAGAUACAGCCUCUCUUCCUCAAAUAGUCCUGGAGAAAUACAAAAUAUUAUGACUUCUUUCCCCUUUCGGAUCUUCCAACCCCGCUAUUUGACUCCCAUGAUUGGAAGCUACAAACUGGCCUGCAGAGGAGUUUUUAAAAUUGGAAAAUCUAAAAAAAAAAAAAUAAAAAAUUGGGAAAUCUAAAAAUAUUUAGAAGUUGGGAAACUUCACCUCAAGGAACAAAGUUUCAGCACUUCCAGGAAGAUAGGAACAUGUGGCAAUUCAGGGCUCACAUUCCCACCUGGCCUAGGCCUGGGGGACAGCUGGUCCGUGGGGGGAGAACUUGCUCUUUACGCUCCCCGCCACCCCCCUUCAGCCUUGCUACUAAUCAGUUCAUCACCUUUCAUUGGUUUCCUGCCCCAGUGACACAUUCUGGACAUUAGGGUUAUAUUUCGGCAUUUUUCAGCCUGCCAUCCACAAAACACAUACAAAACAUCUCUUAGGGUGAGUCAAUGUGACAGAUAUUUUUAAUUGAUCCUCGCUAAUUUCAUUUUCAAAAGGGGCCUGUUUCUAAAUGGGAACUUUUAUAUGCUGAUAACUCCCGAAUUUGUCUAAAGAAUUUAAUGACUCGAUCAGAAAGAAUUCUGUUUAUAGGUGACCAGGGCGAGCUUAAGCCAAUUUUGUUUCAUAGAUGAGCUAUGGUAAUGAUAAAUAUACAAAUAACUAACCUUUAGUGUAUACUUACUGUGUGCCAAGUACUAUCUUAAGUAAUCUCACUCAAUCCUCACAAAGCCUUAGGAGUUAGCACUUCGAUUAUCCUUAUUUUACAGAUGAAGAAACUGAGGCACAGAAGGUGGGUCAGGAGGGAGGAAGCAAAAGAGCUAGAAUUCAAACAUAGCAGCAUGACUUCGAGCCCACUGUCUUAACCACUUCAGAUAACUGCCUCUAAUGCAAAGACCCCUCUCGAAGGUCAGAAGUUUCACAAACACUGCCUUAAGUCUCAUGGCUAACUGGGAGGCCCCACAGAGCAACGUGGCUGUGCAUUAGACUCACCUGAGGAGCUUUUAAAACAUACCUAAGCUUGGCUAGGCACGGUGGCUCACAUGUAUAAUCCAAGCACUUUGGGAAGCUGAGGUGGGAGGAUCACCUGAGCCUAGGAGCUCAAGACCAGCCUGGGCAACAUAGUGGGACCGCAUCUGUACAAAAAAUUAGACAGCUGUGAUGGCAUGUGCCUACAGUCCCAGCUACUCAGGAGGCUGAGGUGAGAGGAUCGCUUGAGUGCAGGAUGUCAAGUCUGCAGUGAGAUGUGUUCACACCAUUGCAUUCCAGCCUGGAUGACAGAACGAGAACUUGUCUCAAUUAAAAAACAAAACAAAACAAACAAAAAAAAAACAAAACCCAAGCUUGAAGCAAAUACCAUAAUGGGGUAACAUUUGGGAAAUCUAAUGAAGGGGAAAUGAGAUAUCUUUGUACUAUUCUUGCAACAUUUCUAUAAGUCUGAAAUUAUGUCAAAAUAAAAAAUUAAAAGAAAAAAGAAUGAAUUAGAAUAAUAUUCAUUGACCUGGAGGGAUUUCUGCAGAAAUUAUUGUCUUCAUAGUAAGAUCCAGAAAAGUAUGUGUUAUGUGAUCCUGCUUCUGUAAAACAAACACUAACAAAAUCCAUCCACACACACCCAUUCACAUAUGCACGUGCAUCUGUAUGUCUUUAUGUGAUAAUGGAAUAAAACAUGCAUGAUACAUUUUUAAAAAUUCCAUAGCAAACCUCUGCCAGAGGUUCUUCUUGAAUUGUUUAGGAGUAGAACCUGGUCCUGGGUACUUUCUUUCAAAGUUUCCUAGAUCAGUGUUCUUAAUGUUGCCACACAUUUGAAUCACCUGGGAAGCUCUGAAACAGCCUGAUGGCCAGAUGACAGCCCAGGACAAUUAAAUCAGAUUCACUGGGAAUGGAGCCCAGGUAUGGAUGUUUUAAAAUUCCCAAGGGGAUUCCAAUGUACAGCCAAUUUGAGGACGAGGCAAGGUCCUUUGAGCAGCCAGAGUUGAGAAUCACUCCUGAGGAACAAGGGAACUCAUGUGUGUAGCCCCUACUAUGUGAUAGGCCUUUGACAUCCACUUUAAUCCUAGGAAUAGCCAGUGAGGUAGGAACUCCCAAGGAAAUAGAGGCUGGCUCCAGAGAUCAGAUAGCCUGCCAGAGGUCACAGAACUACAAGAAGGCAGUGCACACUCUAACCCCAUCAUCCACUGGGCAGUUUGGCAGGAAGCGGGGAGGGGAGUUGUUUUGGGAAGACUUCACUGACUCUCAAUCUCUCUUCUCCAAGACCACAGGGGUUGAAAUUUGUCUAAUAGAGAUUCUUUCCUUUGGGUUCCUCCUCAUAG